rnacentral:rRNA from 1 species
UACGUAGGGUCCGAGCGUUGUCCGGAAUUACUGGGCGUAAAGAGCUCGUAGGUGGUUUGUCGCGUUGUUCGUGAAAACUCACAACUCAAUUGUGGGCGUGCGGGCGAUACGGGCAGACUGGAGUACUGCAGGGGAGACUGGAAUUCCUGGUGUAGCGGUGGAAUGCGCAGAUAUCAGGAGGAACACCGGUGGCGAAGGCGGCUCUCUGGACGGUGACUGACGCUGAGACGCGAAAGCGUGGGGAGCAAACAGG